rnacentral:rRNA from 13 species
GGAAGGAAUAAGAUUCGUGCCAGGUCGUACUCAUAACCGCAGCAGGUCUCCAAGGUUAACAGCCUCUAGUUGAUAGAAUAAUGUGGAUAAGGGAAUUCGGCAAAAUGGAUCCGUAACUUCGGGAUAAGGAUUGGCUCUGAAGAUUGAGAUUGUCGGGCUUGAUUGGGAAACAUUUAUAACGGUUAAUGUGCUCGUUCUGGGUAAAUAGGGUUGGUGUUCUGCAUCGAUCUGUUCCCCGGAUAGAAGAUUUCAUAGCCAAAAUGUGGAACUUUCUUGCUAUGAUGGUGGAGGGCUUCACGGCUCUCCAUCAAAAACGAUUAUCAAUAAACAAUUAAUUCAGAACUGGCACGGACCUGGGGAAUCCGACUGUCUAAUUAAAACAAAGCAUUGUGAUGGCCCUAGCGGGUGUUGACACAAUGUGAUUUCUGCCCAGUGCUCUGAAUGUCAAA